AGCAGCCGCGGUAAUUCCAGCUCCAAGAGCAUAUAUUAAAGUUGUUGCAGUUAAAAAGCUCGUAGUUGGACUUCUGGUUUAAUGCACCUGGCCCGCGGUCGCAAGAUUUGUGAGUGCCGGCGCGCGUUUACAUCCUUCUAGGGAACGAGCCUUCCGUUUACUCGGCCGGGCUCGGGAUCUAGAUCAUUUACUUUGAAAAAAU
rnacentral:rRNA from 1 species